GCUGGGGCUCAGCGGUAGAGCACUUGCCUGGCAUGUGUGAGGCACUGGGUUCGAUUCUCAGCACUGCA
rnacentral:tRNA from 1 species